rnacentral:rRNA from 1 species
CUUGCUUCUCUUGAGAGCGGCGGACGGGUGAGUAAUGCCUAGGAAUCUGCCUGGUAGUGGGGGAUAACGUUCGGAAACGGACGCUAAUACCGCAUACGUCCUACGGGAGAAAGCAGGGGACCUUCGGGCCUUGCGCUAUCAGAUGAGCCUAGGUCGGAUUAGCUAGUUGGUGGGGUAAUGGCUCACCAAGGCGACGAUCCGUAACUGGUCUGAGAGGAUGAUCAGUCACACUGGAACUGAGACACGGUCCAGACUCCUACGGGAGGCAGCAGUGGGGAAUAUUGGACAAUGGGCGAAAGCCUGAUCCAGCCAUGCCGCGUGUGUGAAGAAGGUCUUCGGAUUGUAAAGCACUUUAAGUUGGGAGGAAGGGUUGUAGAUUAAUACUCUGCAAUUUUGACGUUACCGACAGAAUAAGCACCGGCUAACUCUGUGCCAGCAGCCGCGGUAAUACAGAGGGUGCAAGCGUUAAUCGGAAUUACUGGGCGUAAAGCGCGCGUAGGUGGUUUGUUAAGUUGGAUGUGAAAUCCCCGGGCUCAACCUGGGAACUGCAUUCAAAACUGACUGACUAGAGUAUGGUAGAGGGUGGUGGAAUUUCCUGUGUAGCGGUGAAAUGCGUAGAUAUAGGAAGGAACACCAGUGGCGAAAGCGACCACCUGGACUAAUACUGACACUGAGGUGCGAAAGCGUGGGGAGCAAACAGG